CUCCCCCGCCUCUCGGCGGCCGCCGGCGGCAGCUGCCUCGGCCCCGGUGCCUGCGCGGGGCUGAGCCCUCGGCCCCGCGGCCUCCGCAGCUGCUCCCGCCCGGGCCAUUGUGUACAAAGGCGUUCGCCCCUCAACCUUCAGGGCCCGGGAGGACAGAGCGAGGGGUGCGAGCCGCGUUCCUCUCGGCGUGAAGUGUGUGGUUCGUGGAGGGGAGAGAACAGGCGGCCGGGUCGUCACGCGAGGCGCAGGCACUUUGUGCAUCGUGCUGUACAAAAAUGGCUCGGUGCCAUUUUCCGGAGGCCCCAGAUGGAGCCUUUGGAGGGGUCUGUGCCUCGCCCGCCGGCUGCCAGUGGGAAAGAGGAGCUGCCACAGCGGAUCUUGGCUGCAGGACAGACAGUUCACAACAAACUGCCACUGCCUGUACAAUGGUGGGACUAGGGGCAGCUGGAGUUUUGAAUGUCCUGAAAGAUUCCUGGCUUGCCAAUGUUCCCAGAGUCUUCCACUGCUCCCACCCGAAUGGAGCAUCCUCUUUCUUCAGUGCCCAAAGCGGAUGCCAACCAUAACCUCCUCCCCAGUGUCCCUUGCUUUUUUUUAAGGGUAGAGCUGUAACAGCUGACAGUGACAGAAUAUCAUUGCAGCUACAAACAGCUACUGGAGGUCAAGGAGCUUCUCUCCUGCUCUUCUCAUCAACCACCCUGCCCUCCAGCUCUCCUUAUUUUGCUCGGUAUCAGCACAUCAUCACAAUGCCUUUGUCAUACAAAAUAGCAGGAAGAAGAUGGUUUAAAGGAAGAAUGAAAAACAGGGGUGGGGGGACAGCCUAUGUAAAAGAUGUGUGGCUGGUCUGAGAAGCAUCCCUUCGAAAAGUGUUUCAGGCAUUAUAACUGUGCUCUCAUCUCUCUAAACGGCCAGACUUGGUCUGUGUUUUAACGCAGCCAAACUCGGUGUCUCCCAAGACAUCUCUCAUUACCUGUCAGUGCAGCACACGGUCAAAUGCAGCCUUGUCCUGACUGUGCUCCCUGAGUGCUAAUUACACCCUGAAUGCCGUUCAGUGGGGCAGUUUUGCUUAACAAAGACUCCCUGCUGGGUAAGUACCCUAUAGUCCCUGAUUGCCCUUAACCCAAGGAUAUGGAUACAGUCCUUACUAGGCCAUCUGCCGUGGUUCCUCUUUCACAGCUGACACGCUCUGCUUUCCUUGUGUUCUCACCCACACACAUCAUCUCCCUCCCACCUCCUCCUCUGCGUUCACAUCACAGUGGAGCUCUGCUCCCUUUUGCCUUGCUGGUGGUGCUACCCACACAAAACCCUUCCCAUGUGCUCUGCAGAGCACUCAACAGAACUGGUCCUCCAGUCCUUGACUCUUCCCACUCUCUUUUACUGUCACACACACAAGUUUUAUAUAAAUACCCCCCCAAUAUCUCUGUUGAUAUGAGCAACAAAGGCCCCUGUGAAAUUUAAAGAACCCACAACAUUGUCUCCUGGGGCUGAUGGAAGGUUACAAGGUGUAGGGAGCUGGGGGUUGGAACAAGAUGAUCUUUAAGGUCGCUUCCAACUCAAACCAUUCUGUGAUUCUAUGAUUCUCCAAGGGCAGAUAGAAGGAGCCAUCUGGGAGAGCAGUGUAGGUAACUUUCUAUGCUCUUCUAUCAUUGCUCACUUUGUCUGGUUUGAAGGGAAUCUCCAUAUUUUGCGCUUUUGAAGAAAGCCUUCGAAACACCAGUGGUGAGAAUUUCUGGAGUGGGAGCUGCCUGAAUUUGCAAAGGGCCUGAACAAUUUGUUCAUGGAACAGGAGACUGCUGUUGAUCAUUUUUAUUGUUGACAUUGACUGGCUCACCUCCCACCAAAACACAGAUUUAUCAUAUUGCACAUCUGCUGGGUCUACAAAGAACACCCAUUUUUAAAGCACACAGUGUGUCACGACUGUCUAGAAGUUGCUACAAAAGCCUGAGAAACUGCACUACAUGAACUACCUCACUGAAACAAGCCUUGGCUUAGAUUUUAUUCCCUUUGCCUGCUUUGUGAUUUAUUUAUUUAUAUGUAGUAUGAUAAAAAGCACCUUUUCAGAGCUCCUCUGUCUUUGUGAUUAAUGUAAACAGUUCAUAUUCUUACAUUUUUGUACUCUUACUUCAGUUUGACACUCUGACUCUGUAAUCAAUUUUAGCAACCUCAAGAGACUAUUUGCAGAAGA